rnacentral:rRNA from 1 species
AGAAUCAACGCUGGCGGCGUGCCUAACACAUGCAAGUCGCACGAGAAAGGGACUUCGGUCCUGAGUAAAGUGGCGCACGGGUGAGUAACACGUGAAUAAUCUACCUCCGAGUGGGGAAUAACUGAGAGAAAUCUAGCUAAUACCGCAUAACACUUACGAGUCAAAGCAGCAAUGCGCUUGGAGAGGAGUUCGCGGCAGAUUAGUUAGUUGGCGGGGUAAUGGCCCACCAAGACGAUGAUCUGUA